GAUCCUUAUCGAAAUUGGGUGAACCACCACAGGCUGAUAUUUCCCACUCACUUCACAUCCAGGUCGGCAGAAAACAAGGACAAGACUGGGGCCAUGGGCGCUUCCGCCCUUUCUAGAGUAAAGAACAACCGUCCCACUGUACCUGUUUUAACACUCUGAGGCUGCCCGCUGUCUGGACUUCCACCCUGCCAAAAAAGCCCAGAAAGGUCCUCAAUGCUGAGGGCCCUUGCUGCUGCCUGCAGGUGACCACUCACACAUUGGGACUUCCACCCUGCCAAAAAAGCCCAGAAAGGUCCUCAAUGCUGAGGGCCCUUGCUGCUGCCUGCAGGUGACCACUCACACAUUGGGACUUCCACCCUGCCAAAAAAGCCCAGAAAGGUCCUCAAUGCUGAGGGCCCUUGCUGCUGCCUGCAGGUGACCACUCACACAUUGGGACUUCCACCCUGCCAAAAAAGCCCAGAAAGGUCCUCAAUGCUGAGGGCCCUUGCUGCUGCCUGCAGGUGACCACUCACACAUUGGGACUUCCACCCUGCCAAAAAAGCCCAGAAAGGUCCUCAGCACUGAGGGCCCUUGCUGCUGCCUGCAGGUGACCACUCACACAUUGCACAGGUGCCCCGUAAGCCUGCUUCCAUACUCACAGAGCCCCAGGCUGAGCAGGAGGAGCAGUGCAGGAGACCCAGCCAUGGUCCUCGGGGCGGUGC